GUCCCGCAGGAAGCAGGUGCAGAAAAUGUAUUGAGUUUGGGUCUUUCUGCCGCUGGAAUCCGUGUUCUCAACCUCCAGGGCAUUCUGCUGGGUGAGAACGACUGCAGGACAAAAAUGAGCUCCUCUUGCGUUUCAGCCCAGGAGAGGUCUUCCCCGAGAAACCACCGGCAGCCCAUCCCUGCAGCUGGCUCCGCUCUGCCAGAGGCUGGUCCCAUCCGGGCCAGGCCAGCCCACUGCCCAGUUGGUGAGGGAUGGUUUAUCAGCACCAUGACUCAGCCUUUCCCAACAUGCCCAGGUCAGUGCUGGGACGGUCCUUACAGGAAUGAAUGAGAGCCCUGCGCUGGCAAUUUCGGCCUUGGCAGAUUACAUUUAAAGCCAAAAGAAAGGAUAAAGCUGAUGCAAAGAAAAAUAGACCUGAGAAUGAGAGAGAGGAGGAGAGAGAGAAAGCCAGCUCCUGGAUUCAACCAUACCUGAAGCCACAUAACCCUAGAUUUUUCAACUGCAUGAAUUAUGUUUUUUAAAGCUCUUUAACACUGGAUGUCUCUCAUUUAAAAUAUGAAGAGUUGUACCUCAAACAGAAAACCUGAGGUCAAGCCACAAGGAAACAAGUUUCAUUUGAUGGCUGCAUGAACCAAGCAUUAUGAGAGGCACUGAUAUUUGCAUUUUCAUAUAAUCUUCACAAUUAGCCUGUACAAUUGGUGUUAUUGAUUUUAUAUUAUAGACAAGGAAACCCAGAGCCAGAGAGUGAACCAAAUUACCAAUGCUUCAUGCUGAGUAAGGGAGCUUGAACCCAGAUCUUCUCAACUAUAAACUUCAUUCCUCUGUCCUCACUAUCUUGCAUUUACUCCCAUCUCACCGGUCAACAAAGUCAACACAGUGUCAUGAAUGUGAGUAUAAACUUGGGAAAAGUCAAGAAUGCUUUUUGUAUUCCAAGUUUUUAUUGAUGAGAGAAUAGCUGUCCAUCAGCUCCUAGUUCUCUAAACCCACCCUGCCCCAACCCUUGUUCUUGUCCAUCGACAGGAGACAGUGCCUAGCUUGUCAGUCCCUUUUCUGUAGAGAUGAACAGAUACUCAACACAGCCCAUUCCCAAUCUGUUGAAUAGUGACAGAACGCUGACAUCCCCUUGGCUCUGUGUUGUCAGGAAAGUGCAGGAGACAGACUCCAUCCUCUGGAACAUCUCAGCUCUGAGGGACAGAGAGACAUAUAUACAGAAGUAAUUAAUCCUGCCCACAUGCAUGACAGAGAGAAGCUACUACAAACAGAAGGAGGUUGGGAAGACAACCCAUUGGGGGGAUGAUGUAGGAUGGAUAUGAUUCCUGGAAAUUACCUUCAUUUGCCUUUCAAGAUGUCUCAUUUAUCAAAAGAAAUGUCCUCCACCUUUUCCUCUAUGUGCCAUGUCCUAUUUUCAAGACCCAUUCUGGACUCAUCUCUUGUAGAAUGGAAUGCAGUGGAAUGGAAUGGAAUGGAAUGGAAUGAACAAAAUAAUUAAAAACACACUUUCUGGCA